rnacentral:rRNA from 1 species
CUACGGGAUGCACCAGUGGGGAAUAUUGGACAAUGGGGGAAACCCUGAUCCAGCAAUGCCGCGUGUGUGAAGAAGGCCUGCGGGUUGUAAAGCACUUUCGGUUGGGAGGACUGCUUCUAGCACUAAUAUUGUUGGAAGUUGACGUUACCUUCGGAAGAAGCACCGGCUAACUCCGUGCCAGCAGCCGCGGUAAUACGGAGGGUGCAAGCGUUAAUCGGAAUUACUGGGCGUAAAGCGCGCGUAGGCGGCUAGAUCAGUCGGGUGUGAAAGCCCCGGGCUUAACCUGGGAACUGCAUCCGAUACUGUCUAGCUUGAGUACAGGAGAGGAGAGUGGAAUUCCACAUGUAGCGGUGAAAUGCGUAGAUAUGUGGAGGAACACCAAUGGCGAAGGCAGCUCUCUGGCCUGAUACUGACGCUGAGGUGCGAAAGCGUGGGGAGUAAACAGGAUUAGAUACCCUGGUAGUC